AGACAUAACUCGACAUCAUCGAUAUAAUAGUUCAUAAAGUCAGAUAUAGGCCAUAUAUGUUCUCCUUGUAGACACCACCAGUAAAUACAUUGUACAUGACUUAGUUGCCUCAUCCUGAUCUAUUCUCAUACGGUAUGGUAGACAAAAGAUAGUACUCAGCGUACAUAAGGACCUUGAUCAUCGUCGUGCCUUCCUGUUGCCUUUGACUUAACCAAAUGCCUACAAAGAACCACAUUAGUGGCUACAUAAGCGAGUAGAAUAAUAGUACCAACAAAUAUAGCCAAUGACCAAUGUCUAAAGGUACUAAUCGCAAUCGCAAUUCAUUCUGGAGGUUACUUGAUAAUUAGCACGAACAUGUGAGAAGAGGUGGCAGCUCACCUACGGCAUGGAGCAUAAAAAAUAUUAGGAGCUCUUCCUUUCCCGUAGUAUGAACAUGACAUCGCUGCAUUGCACCUUGAUGCGUCACCACUUCCACCAGCCAAUUAGCAGGAGCUAUCGAUUUGUAUUUGCAACCACACAUGCUGUUUAGGCAGCUUCAAUAAUAUCUAAAAGAAAGACCAUUAUGUUGAUUACAGCAGCAGCAAAGAGUACUAUUUUGAAUCAGAUAACGAAUCACUUGUAUUCUAUACCUAAGCCAUAAAUAUGAACAACUUACCUAUAAACUACACAUCUUUCAGACACUCGGACCCAUAGUGCUCCUUGGAGCAGUCCUAUAUCUCAAAAGAUAAUCAUUCACCUGCAUGGGCAAGUAAAUAGGCUUCAUUAACAAAAUGUAGCAUCCAUCUUAAGUCCUAGACAUAACAAAGAUACCAUUACUCCUACUUGCCUCAUCAAGAUCUGGGACUUUAGGAGCUAUACCAUAAGGUGCUUUUAUUGCAAUUAGAAUCUGAUUCAUAAAGUUACAAAUUGGAAAAUAGUUGAGCUCAAGAAGCUGGAGAAAGAUGGCACAUUGUUGAGCACAAGAGGUUGUUCUCACUUGCAUAUUUGCACAGUUUAAUUUAUUGGAGUGCUCCUGUGUAAUUUUUUAAAAGGAAAAAAUGGGAAAUAGUUUGCAAUCAACGGUUUAAGGAUAGAUUAUUUAGAAAUGAGAAUGUUUUCAUCAAACAAACAAAGCAUCAUAAGGAAAAUAUGAGCCCAUUCAUAGUAUACAACUACUGUGAGCUAUCAAAAUGCAUGAUUCUUCUGUGAGACAUGCUUUAUCCAACUAACUGUUAACAGCAGAAGAGGGGAACUCAGAGCAUCUCCAGCCGUUGGCCCCCUAGGAGGGGCUAACAAUCGCCCCCUGGGGGCGCACCGGCGCUAAACCGCGCGUUGGGGGCGUGAUGCCCCCCAGUCGCAGCGCCCACAUUUUUUUUAAAACUUAAAUACGGCGCAAACAUGGCUCAAAUUUAACGCAAACAUCGGCGAGUUCGUUCAAAUUUAAACAUAUUUUACAAAAAAGAAAAAAAACUACUAGGGGCUGCUCCUCGCCGUCUCCAUCGCCGCUCCUCGCUGUCUCCCUCGCCGCUCCUCGCCGCCCGCCGCCCGCCCUUGCAGUUCUACAUGCCGAGGAGGCUGUAGAACCGCGUGUAGUCGUCGCCGCCGCCGCCGCCGUCCCUGCUGCAUCCCUCCCCUGGUUGGCGCGGUGGGUUGGACGGUCCGGGGGCGUCCUCGUCGUCAUCGCUGUCGAGGAUCACGACGGCGGUGGAGGAUCUGUGCGUGUCUCCGGCACGCUGGUGGUCGGCUUAUAUAGGCGGAGGCGCCGCGUAGUACGCGUGGCAGGCAAGGGGACGCGCGUCGCCCGGCCUUCACUGCGCCGCCCGUGAGGCAUCAAUGGAGGCUGACCGGCGCGGCAGCGCGCGCAGCUUUGGCAUUGAUUCGCCGUGGGGAACGAGGCAAUGAGGACGACGAAGCGGCGAGAAGAGAGUCGAGUCGCUGGCAAGGGGGGCCCGCGGCUCUUCGUGCCAAAAACGAUUCGCCCGGCGCCCCCGAGCGCCGGGUUCGGGUUGGGUCCGCCGGCGCCAAUUUCGGCCCGAGCCGGCGAAAACUGGGCCCUUGGGGGCGCGACUGGGCCGUUUUUUUGGCGCCGGCGGCCGAAAAAUCGCCUGGGGGGCCUUGUUGGGGGCGCGGCUGGAGAUGCUCUCAUAGGAAGAUUUAAGGCUAGGAACAUGGUAUUUUAGGUAACUUGUUUAUACAUGAGCUCAUAGAUCAUCGUCCAAAUGAACAGUAUAUUAUUAGUAUUCUUAUUAGAAGUGAACCUACAGGAUGCAUCAUCAAUUACAGAGUCCCAUUUUAAUGUUUCAGCCUACUACUACUGGUAUAAUAUGUCACAACACAGCCAAUGCAAUACUAUUGAAUAGGAAAUAUAACAUUUCGUAGGCACUUCUGGCACGACUGUUGGAAUGAAUAAUUUCAGUGCUCUCUCACCCAGUGAAUGGUGGUAAUACCUCAAAUAUAUUGUUUGAUCAUAAUAUAUAUUCUUUAUCAGGUUUUGAGUAUCACAAUGGGGUAAUAUCCUACCAUGUAAAGUCAGAACGGCUGUAGUUAUAUUGGCAAAAUCAUGAAAUCAAUUAAUUCCGUUAUUACUUAAUUAUACUUUGGAAUGUUGCUGGUGUCAUUACAAAGAAAAUAUGUUCAUUAAGCAUAUGAUAAUAAUAGACUUAUUGAUAUUAUUCGCAUGGGAUUAACCACAGCUUAUAAGGUCUCAGUUAAUUUAACCUGAUGCCAUUUGAAUAUUGUCCUCUGCAGCAGGCUCACUACUUAUAGCACCCAUAUCAAUGAGCUCAACCUGCUUGUUAUUACCAAGGCUACU
rnacentral:lncRNA from 1 species